rnacentral:rRNA from 1 species
GAGUUUGAUCGUGGCUCAGAAUCAACGCUGGCGGCGUGCCUAACACAUGCAAGUUGAGCGCUUGAGGGGGGCAACCCCCCAAGAGAGCAGCGAACGGGUGAGUAACGCGUGGGUGAUCUUCCUUCGAGUGGGGAACAACAUCGGGAAACUGGUGCUAAUUCCGCAUAACACCCUGGGGCUACGAGCCUCAGGAUCAAAGCCGGGGACCGCAAGGCCUGGCGCUUGAAGAUGAGCCCGCGUCCGAUUAGCUAGUUGGCGGGGUAAUGGCCCACCAAGGCUUCGAUCGGUAGCCGGCCUGAGAGGGCGGACGGCCACACUGGAACUGAGACACGGUCCAGACUCCUACGGGAGGCAGCAGUGGGGAAUUUUUCGCAAUGGGCGCAAGCCUGACGACGCAACGCCGCGUGGAGGAUGAAGAUCUUCGGGUCGUAAACUCCUGUCGAGCGGGACGAACACUUAUCCGGUGAAUACCCGGGUAGGCUGACGGUACCGCUAAAGGAAGCCCCGGCUAACUCCGUGCCAGCCGCCGCAGUAAC